GUUUGGAUCCGAACUCGUUUGUACAGAUUCAGUAGCUUCUGCCUCAUCCGAGGGUAAAUCGUCUGGAUGUAAUUCAGGUUGACUCAGGCUUCGGACAAACUCAGUGAAUGAAGGAAAAUGCUCCGGCGAGAAGAAAUGAGCUCCCAUCCUCUGAUAAGUGAACAAGUCUAUUGGAUUCUCACCCAACAUAUUUUUCUUAAUCUGCUCUAAACCACCAGGAGCUCCAGAGGCCAGGUUCUGCCCGGCAACCUCAACCCGGUGCUUGUUGCAAGUUGUUCGGAUUUGUGCAAGUAAUGAUUCGGGGCUAGAGAGAGAAUCGUGUGGCUGGUGCUCAUCUGACAGGUCCAUUCCAGGCAAGAUGAUUUUGCAUGAAUUCCUUGCAAACAUCUCUGCAACUGCUUCAUAGCCAUUUCUUGAGGCCGUGUUAUAGAAGCCGGCAGUCAGUUCAGAAGGGUGUGCCCGGGUUUUGUACCACGAGUGCAUCAAUGGGACUUUCCCAUAAACAUUGACUUCAGUAUCACCAAAAAUGGACGAGGCAAGAGAGAGGAGACGAUUGCCGUGAGAUACAAGCUCGCUUGAGUACCAGGAAAGGAAGAAGUCACCAUAAGGACUUUCCCACGACCCACCGUGAUCCUUGAAGAAACUAUUUAAGUUCGGUGCCUGAUCAUAAGUAGGGGCAUCAUGUGGACCACCUAGACCCCAUAAUGGGUUUCCAUUUGCUUCAGCAUAUUGCUUAAGAAGGUUAAGCAUGUUUGUGUCAUAACAUUGGAACUCCCCGACUCCAGUAAUCGUGCCACUCUUGGCAGGCUUGUGGUGUGAGGG
rnacentral:lncRNA from 1 species